CCGGGUGAGUAACACGUAUCCAACCUGCCGUCUACUCUUGGACAGCCUUCUGAAAGGAAGAUUAAUACAAGAUGGCAUCAUGAGUCCGCAUGCUCACAUGAUUAAAGGUAUUCCGGUAGACGAUGGGGAUGCGUUCCAUUAGAUAGUAGGCGGGGUAACGGCCCACCUAGUCUUCGAUGGAUAGGGGUUCUGAGAGGAAGGUCCCCCACAUUGGAACUGAGACACGGUCCAA
rnacentral:rRNA from 1 species